UACGUAGGGUGCGAGCGUUAAUCGGAAUUACUGGGCGUAAAGCGUGCGCAGGCGGUUUUGUAAGCCAGAUGUGAAAUCCCCGGGCUUAACCUGGGAAUGGCAUUUGGGACUGCAAGGCUGGAGUGCGGCAGAGGAGACUGGAAUUCCUGGUGUAGCAGUGAAAUGCGUAGAUAUCAGGAGGAAUACCGAUGGCGAAGGCAGGUCUCUGGGCUGACACUGACGCUCAUGCACGAAAGCGGUGGG
rnacentral:rRNA from 1 species